rnacentral:tRNA from 1 species
GGGAGUGUAGCUCAGUGGCAGAGUGCAUGCUUGGCAUGCACGAGGUCCUGGGUUCAAUCCCCAGAACCUCCA